rnacentral:rRNA from 1 species
AUUGAACGCUGGCGGCAGGCCUAACACAUGCAAGUCGAACGAGUGGCGGACGGGUGAGUAAUGUCUGGGGAACUGCCCGAUGGAGGGGGCUAACUACUGGAAACGGUAGCUAAUACAGCAUACCAUCGGAUGUGCCCAUAUAGGAUUAGCUUGUAGGUGAGGUAACGGCUAACCUAGGCGACGAUCCCUCGCUGGUCUGAGAGGAUGACCAGCCACACUGGGACUGAGACACGGUCCAGACUCCUACGGGAGGCAGCAGUGGGGAAUAUUGCACAAUGGGCGCAAGCCUGAUGCAGCCAUGCCGCGUGUAUGAAGAAGGCCUUCGGGUUGUAAAGUACUUUCAGAGGGGAGGCGUUACCCGCAGAAGAAGCACCGGCUAACUCCGUGCCAGCAGCCGCGGUAAUAC